rnacentral:rRNA from 1 species
GUUGAACGCUGACAGAAUGCUUAACACAUGCAAGUCGACUGUGGCGGACGGGUGAGUAACGCGUAAAGGACUUGCCUCACAGAUAGGGACAACAUUUGGAAACGAAUGCUAUUCCCUGAUACAGUGAGAGAGCUGUGCGUCACAUUAGCUAGUUGGAGAGGUAACGGCUCACCAAGGCGAUGAUGGGUAGCCAGCCUGAGAGGGUGAUCGGGCACAAGGUGACUGGGGAACGACCAGUAGGGAAACGGGAGGAAGGGGUGGGGAACAGUGGACGCCGGACCAAAGUCUGAUCCAGGAAUUCGGGGUGCAAGGUGAAGUUUUCGGGAUGAAAAGGGCUUUCAGUUGGGAAGCGGUACCAGCAGAAGAAGUAACGGCUAACUACGUGCCAGCAGCCGCGGUAAUAC